AUUAAAAUUACCUGUAAUGUAUUUCAUCUCCAGACAAUUAAAAAUUAAUAUAAAAAAUUCAAAAUAAAUCUGUAAAUUUAUGUAAUUGAUCAAUAUAAAUAUAAUUUAUAUAAAAUUAUUAAAUAAAGAACUUGGCAAAAUUUCAUAUGUAUGCAAACAAGUCGUUUCAAAAUGUCCCUAGAUUUCUCGUAUAUAGAGACCAGUUGUAUAAUUGUACCGCGCAUGAGCAAUUCCAUCCGUAUCGAAGACACCGAGGUCAACUUUCAUAUAACAUCUUUUAGGACUAGGGGAAAUCCAGUUGGAUUGAAUAUCUAAAUAAAACUGGGACCUAUUAUUACAUCUAAAACGACCUAUGAGAACCGCAGAACCAUAAAACUUAUACGAUUAAGAAGAUUAGAAAAUUAUUGAAACUAUGCUGUUCUACUAUCAACCACUAAAGAUAUAUAUAUGUUGGAUAAUGAAAAUAAUGAAAUUGAAUUUUAUUUUUGUUAUAAUAUUUCUCUUUGAAACACCACUGAAUAUUGUAUACAAAUACAAAUACGAAUUGUUUGUAUUUGUAACAUUGAAAAAUGCAGUUUUUGUUUCGUAGGACAUUUGAACUUAAAAUAUAUCUUUCUCCUUUCAAAUUCUAUAGUACAUUCCAAUCCAUGAAUAUUUCAUCCAACAAAAUUUUUAUUUAAUUGUAUUUAUAAACUCGAUAGACAUAGUCAUUGUAAACUGACAUAGUUGCGAUAACAUGUAAAUAUUG